AAUUUAAUAUUUAAUUAUCUAAUACGAAAAUUUUUCUCAUUGUAGCUUGGAAAAAAAAAGAAAAACAAAACAUUGUUUAUCGAAUAAAGCAGAGAAACUAUAUCUAAUGGGCAAAAGUCUGAAAGUUUUCAGAUUUCAACCGAUGUAACCAUGACUUUGUAAAUGGGAAAAUCUUGUAUACACAGGCAAAAGAGACAGUGAUCCAAUCUUUGAUGAAAUAAAUAUCUGCCACGUACAUUUCAUAUCUCGAAUUGCGAUAAAGAUUCUCAUUAACAAUGAUGAUAAAUAUUACAGAACGCUUUGAGAAACUUGGUUGUUCGAGAGAGACGAGAUGGUCAUCCAUGGAAGAACGAAGAGAGUUAAUUGGCUGAAUCGAAUUAAGAGUCAGCCGAUAUUUUCAUCGCUGCAAUUCUCUAAUUAGCCGCGGACGAAUUGACCAAUUGUUUCCACUAGUUUGCACGUCCGCCUCUCGUUAACGACGAGUCAUCGGCAAAAGAGAGCACCAUACGAUUUUAUAAAAAAUCUCAUCAUUCCAUUUCAAUAAAAUUGUUUGGAUAGAUUCAUUGUUUUGUAUUCUCAUCUUAUAUACUGUAAAAAUUUUUUUUUGUUACAGAAAAAAUGAUGAAAGAAAGGAUUAAAUUUAAAAUUUUUACAUAGAAGUCUUGAUGCUAUUUUUGAUAAUAAUCUGUUAAUUAUUUAAGAUAGAAUUUACCAUACUGAUAGAGAUGAGAAUUUGUUGCUUUUCAAUUUGCUCACGUGAGAAAUAAAAAUUCUAGAUUUGUUUGUUAAAUAUUGAAAUAGAUAAGCAUGAUAGUGAAUGUGUGCAAUUUUAAUCAAACAAAGUCUAAUCGCUAUACGAUUAUGCAAUAAGUCAAUAAGGCGCGAUGAACGAGCUUAUAGAAAUUUAUGAAGUAAAAUGUACAAUUGGACACGUUCCAGAAAACGUGAAAGCAGGAAAUCACAUAUCAAUAAUAGUGAAAAAACUAUUAUGGAACAAUAGAAUUUCCUCUAAAGGAAAGAAGAUUAUUACAAUCUAUCAAUAAUAAUAACAAAAUUCUAAUAUUCCACAAUCUAAGUUCCUUAACCUUCGAAGGAAAAGAAUAUUUGCAAAACAAAGAAAAAAUUUUUCCUCGCAUCAUGUGGAAAUCAUUUUUCAAAGGAACGAUUUUAUGCACCGAAGAAAAUAUCUGUCACUAGCAACGACCUUAUCAGUCAACUGCUUAUCAUCGACCUCACGUAGUUGAGGACAGGUUUAUGACUUGACUGCUGGAAUCGCGAACAAGUGUAUCUCCGUUACCUCAAACGGUUCCUCUUUUCUUAAUACCUCUUUUCGACGUAGACACUUUCUUGUUUUGAGAAAACUAAGACAAAGCAGAAUAUUUGCAAAACAUAUGCGAAAAGAGACACGAUUUUCCGAACGUGAUAUAACUAUAUAUUGUUUUAUAAUCGCGAAAGAAGAUUCGAGACACGUGUGAAGACAAACAACACUGAUUCAACUUCAAAGAAAUUUCUUUAACGUCGACACGAUGUCGAAUUGACAG